rnacentral:rRNA from 1 species
UGUAAGCGUAUACCAAAGUUGUUGCAGUUAAAACGCUCGUAGUCGGAAUUUGGCAGUUCCGGAUGUGUGCACGUCGUGUGCGCACUUCGCGGGGAUUGCUUUUGUGGUCUUGCGUAGGAUGAGGCACUUUUAUUAGUGAACGUCCUCACGCAACCACUUUUUACUGUGAGAAAAUCAGAUUGCUCAAAGCAGGCAUUUGCCGUGAAUGUAUUAGCAUGGAAUAAUAGAAUAGGACUUGGUUCUAUUUUGUUGGUUUGUUGGGACUGAGUAAUGAUUAAGAGGGACAGUUGGGGGCAUUUGUAUUUCGGUGCUAGAGGUGAAAUUCUUAGAUUACCGAAAGACAAACUGCUGCGAAAGCGUCUGCCAAGGAUGUUUUCAUUGA